rnacentral:lncRNA from 1 species
UUUGAUCAUCAAUGGGACCAACCCUAGAAUUUUGAUCUCUUUUGAUUUCAGAACCGAACCUUUGCUUUCGGUUGAUGUAGUUCUCUGAACCGAACUUCUGCUUUCGGUUGGAGUCAUUCUCAGAACUGAACCUUUGCUUUCGGUUGGAAUCAUUCUCUGAACCGAACCUUUGCUUUCGGUUGAGGUUUUUCUCCGAACCGAACCUCUGCUUUCGGUUGUUGUUGCUCUCUUGCGAUUUAACAGGACAUUUCUCUGACUUUAAGUUCUUGUCUUGAUGUGAGAAAUAGGCAUUCUGAGAUUGCCAAAACUGUUUUCUUUCAGAGAGAUUCUUCCUGUAUCUCUGAUUCCUUUGCUGUUUUUGACUUCUCAUCUGCUUCGGUUGAUGAUGGAUAUUAGCUUUCGGUUUCUGUUUUUCUUUGGUUGGUUCACUCUGAACUGAUGAUGUUUCGCUUGGUGGAGUGUCUUCUUUUGUAGGAAUUUCUUUUUCCUGAGGAACAUCCUUUGUACCACUAGUACUUGGCACAUCGAAGCUAUCAGGUUUAUUCAAAGGUUCUGGCACAUAUCUGCCUUUUCUUUUCCAUGAAGUUCUUUCAGACAAACCCACU